rnacentral:rRNA from 1 species
AUUGAACGCUGGCGGCAGGCCUAACUCAUGCAAGUCGAGCGAGCGGCGGACGGGUGAGUAAUGUAUGGGGACUGCCCGGUAGACGUGGAUAACUACUGGAAACGGUGGCUAAUACCGCAUACUAACGGCUAACCCACAUGGGAUUAGCUAGUAGGUGGGGUAAAGGCUCACCUAGGCGACGAUCUCUAGCUGGUCUGAGAGGAUGAUCAGCCACACUGGGACGGAGACACGGCCCAGACUCCUACGGAGGCAGCAGUGGGGAAUAUUGCACAAUGGGCGAAAGCCUGAUGCAGCAAUGCCGCGUGUAUGAAGAAGGCCUUAGGGUUGUAAAGUACUUUCAGCGGGGAGGCGUUACCCGCAGAGGAAGCAACGGCUAACUACGUGCCAGCAGCCGCGGUAAUUC